GGGGACCUUGCGGGCGCUGUAGGAUUUCAGUCCUUCACAGAGUAGUGUUUUACCAAUUGUUUUCUUGGUGACUAUGGUCCCUGCUGCAUAGAGUUCAUUAACAAGAUCCUGCUGUGUAGUUCUCAUGAUCAUUGAAACGCCACGAGGUGAGAUGUUGCAUGGAGCACCAGACUGAGGAAGACUGACAGUUAUUUUGUGUUUCUUCCAUUUGCAAAUAAUUGCAACAACUGUUGUCACCUUCUCACAAGCUGCUUGGUGAUGGUCUUGUAGCCUAUUACAGACUUGUGUAGGUCUACAAUCUGGUCCCUGACAUCCUUGGACAGCUCUUUGGUCUUUGUCAUGAUGGACAGUUUG